CACCCGCGGUAAUUCCAGCUCCAAUAGCGUAUAUUAAAGUUGUUGUGGUNAAAAAGCUCGUAGUUGAACCUUGGGCCGGGCUGGCCGGUCCGCCUCACCGCGGUGUACUGGUCCGGCCGGGCCUUYCCUUCUGUGGAACCCCAUGCCCUUCACUGGGUGUGGCGGGGAAACAGGACUUUUACUGUGAAAAAAUUAGAGUGCUCCAGGCAGGCCUAUGCUCGAAUACAUUAGCAUGGAAUAAUAGAAUAGGACGUGUGGUUCUAUUUUGUUGGUUUCUAGGACCGCCGUAAUGAUUAAUAGGGACAGUCGGGGGCAUCAGUAUUCAAUUGUCAGAGGUGAAAUUCUUGGAUUUAUUGAAGACUAACUACUGCGAAAGCAUUUGCCAAGGAUGUUUUCAUUAAUCAGGAACGAAAGUUAGGGNAUCGAAGACGAUCAGAUACCGUCGUAGUCUUAACCAUAAACUAUGCCGACUAGGGAUCGGACGGUGUUAUUUUUUGACCCGUUCGGCACCUUACGAGAAAUCAAAGUGCUUGGGCUCCAGGGGGAGUAUGGUCGCAAGGCUGAAACUUAAAGAAAUUGACGGAAGGGCACCACCAGGGGUGGAGCCUGCGGCUUAAUUUGACUCAACACGGGGAAACUCACCAGGUCCAGACACAAUGAGGAUUGACAGAUUGAGAGCUCUUUCUUGAUUUUGUGGGUGGUGGUGCAUGGCCGUUCUUAGUUGGUGGAGUGAUUUGUCUGCUUAAUUGCGAUAACGAACGAGACCU
rnacentral:rRNA from 1 species